UACAGAGACCUCAAGCGUUAUCCGGAAUCAUUGGGCGUAAAGCGUACCGAUAGGUGGUCAUGAUAGUUUUGGGUAAAAGCCAGAAGCUUAACUUCUGCGUUUGCUCAAAAUACUUCACGACUAGAGGGGCAAAUAGGAAGCUGGAACGAAUGGUGUAGUAGUGAAAUGCGUUGAUAUCAUUCGGAACACCGAAAGCGAAGGCAGGUUUCUGGGUGCCACCUGACACUGCUAGGACGAAAGCGUGGGUAGCGAACAGG
rnacentral:rRNA from 1 species